GAUGGAAUUGCACAAGCUAGCAGAUAUGCUACUGAGGAUUCAAUUAAGUCAUGGCUUAAUGAAUUACUUUGCUUGGUUGUUGCAAGUUACAUUCCAAAUAUCACUAUGUUAGUAUUCUUGAUGAAAAGUAAAUAAUUGUUUUUCAGGUCAUUCUCUAAAUGAUCUUUUAUUUGUCUAGACUUCCACAUCCAAGUGAAUGUGCCCUUUACUAUGUCAACCGAGAUAUACUUUUCUAAUAUCACAAGGAGAGUGAGAUAUGUUUAUAGGUUUGUCUCUCCAUUGUGGAAUUCAAUGAUAUUUUUUCUCCUCGUAGAGAGAAGACUACACUCGAGCAUGAGCCUAGCUUGUGGUUGCUGCAGUUGGCUUCAAGGCAAGAAGGCCUGAGAUCACAAGUACUGUAAAUAGACAUGUGGCUACCAUAAUUGAGUCCUGUUGGGCCAGGUAUAGAUAUCUAUUGCCUGAUGCAGGCAUGGUUAUUAAAUAUUAACAUACUUCUUCACUCGUGCUUCCCCACACACUAACUUAAAUCACAUGUUGAGCUUCAGCGAGCCAUGGAAAAGGCCUUCUUUUUCUAGUAUCAUGGAAUCCUUGAAGCCUCUAAUCAAGACUCAGUCACCUCAACCGUUACAUUCUGAUAUGUCUAGUAUCCAAUAGCCAGAUGAUUGUAUAUUCCUAAGAGAGAUGUGUAUUGUAUCUAUUCUACUUGUCAAAAAGGGUCCCCUUCAAAUUUUGCCUGUCAGAGGAUCAGUGCCAAUGAAGCAGCUGCCAGUUUUCAUUGCAUCACCGCCAACACGAUCGAUCUAAUCAGCUAUAGAUAUUUUUCAGAAAGAGCACAAGCCUUUUGAGGUUGUGUUGCAAUUUCAGACUGAUAUCAGCAUGGAACUUGUAUAUCGCCAGCCUUUUACCGUCAGUUAUCUAAUCAAAUGUGUGCAUUCUGAA